rnacentral:lncRNA from 1 species
AUGUUAACCGGUGUCCCCAGAGCACUGGUUAAGAAAGCAAAUGUAGCAGGUAUUGUAUUGAAACUUAUGUUUUCAACUGCUCAGAAAACAUAAAAAAUGUUAUUUUCAUUUUAAAAUUUUAUUUUUUAGGUUUCUUUAACCGAUUUCCCAGAGGCACAGGUUAACAUGCCUUUUUCAUCAUCUUCAAAUGGUAUACAAGUAAUUCUUAACAUUUGUUUUAAAAAAUAUAUAUUAUAGUUAACUUUGUCUCUUCAAUUUAAUUUGUGUGUAAAUUUUAUCAAUAGCUUCAUACUUCAAACGAAUACAAUCCGAGAUUUGUCUACCUUGAAUGAAACCUCUAUAAUUAGGAGAGAUAAUAUUAGUAGUGAUUUUAAAUUUAAAAUUAGCCAUUGAGAUAACCUAUACUAUUCAGUUUUAUCUGCGUGAUUAACCCUAAGAAUGAGAACCACGACACUACCUUUCCAAUUAGGCAUCAUUCAGCCAAUAUGAAAAAAUCUCUAAACAUCAUUGCUAAAUCCAAAACCUCAAUGAUGACUACCACACGAUCAACAAAUUAUUUCCCAAUAUAAUUUAGAAUUCAAGAUAUGUCUUGACUUUACCAUGCAAGAUAGUUGAUAUUGUUAGUUUG